GAUGAACGCUGGCGGCGUGCCUUAGGCAUGCAAGUCGAACGGGAAGUCUUCGGACUUCUAGUGGCGGAAGGGUGAGUAACGCGUGGGAACGUACCUAUUGGUGGAGAAUAGCUCGCCGAAAGGCGGGAUAAUUCUGCAUAAGACCGCAAGGUGAAAGGGCUUAACCGCCCGCCGAUAGAGCGGCCCGCGUCUGAUUAGCUAGUUGGUGAGGUAAAGGCUCACCAAGGCUACGAUCAGUAGCUGGUCUGAGAGGAUGACCAGCCACAUUGGGACUGAGACACGGCCCAAACUCCUACGGGAGGCAGCAGUGGGGAAUCUUGCGCAAUGGGCGAAAGCCUGACGCAGCCAUGCCGCGUGGAUGAUGAAGGUCUUAGGAUUGUAAAAUCCUUUCACCGGUGAAGAUAAUGACUGUAGCCGGAGAAGAAGCCCCGGCUAACUUCGUGCCAGCCGCCGCUGUAA
rnacentral:rRNA from 1 species